AAGCCAGACUCCUACGGGAGGCAGCAGUGGGGAAUAUUGGACAAUGGGGGGAACCCUGAUCCAGCGACGCCGCGUGAGUGAAGAAGUAUUUCGGUAUGUAAAGCUCUAUCAGCAGGGAAGAAAGAAAUGACGGUACCUGACUAAGAAGCCCCGGCUAACUACGUGCCAGCAGCCGCGGUAAUACGUAGGGGGCAAGCGUUAUCCGGAUUUACUGGGUGUAAAGGGAGCGUAGACGGCGAUGCAAGUCUGAAGUGAAAGGCGGGGGCCCAACCCCCGGACUGCUCUUGGAACUGCGUGGCUGGAGUGCAGGAGGGGCAGGCGGAAUUCCUGGUGUAGCGGUGAAAUGCGUAGAUAUCAGGAGGAACACCGGUGGCGAAGGCGGCCUGCUGGACUGCAACUGACGUUGAGGCCCGAAAGCGUGGGGAGCAAACAGGAUUAGAUACCCGAGUA
rnacentral:rRNA from 1 species